rnacentral:rRNA from 1 species
UGAGGAUUAUUGGCCAAUGGGGCCAACCCUGAUCAAGGAAUGUGGCUUGAAUGAUGAAGCCUUUAGGUUGGUAAAGCUCUUUCUGUAUGGAAGAAAAUGACGGUACCUCCAGAAGAAGCUUCGGCUAACUACGUGCCAGCAGCCGCGGUAAUACGUGGGGAGCUAGCGUUUUUCGGAAUUACUGGGCGUAAAGGGCGCGUAGGCGGAUAAUCAAGUUGAAAGUGAAAGCUCCAGGCUUAACUUGGGGACGUCUUUCAAAACUCAUUAUCUAGAGUACGAUAGAGGAUGGUAGAAUUCCUAGUGUAGAGGUGAAAUUCUUAGAUAUUAGGAGGAACACCGGUGGCGAAGGCGGCCAUCUGGGUCGUUUCUGACGCUGAGGCGCGAAAGCGUGGGGAGCGAACGGGAUUAGAAACCCCGGUAGUCCACGCCGUAAACGAUGUACACUAGAUGUGUGUGUGGUGAAAGCCAUGUGCGUGUCGAAGCUAACGCGAUAAGUGUACCGCCUGGGGAGUACGGUCACAAGGCUA